CAUUCUCACCAAUGGGUACUCCGUCUUCAUUGUACAUCAUCACCUUCUUCUCUCCCAAACUUCUAAUGCGAGUGACAUCGAACAUAAUAGUUGGUCCUCGUGGUCUACAUAUCUGCUUUGGGGUUUCAUUUUCAACACCAGCUUCUUCAUCACUAAAGUUAUCCAUGUGAUGUAUGAAUCAAAGGCUGCCAAUCAAAAUGAAGAAACAAUUAGCAUAGUAUACAAGUUUUAAACAAAAUUAAAAACUGAUCAAUUAAUUGAGAUGAAUGAGCAUAAUAAACGAAUGGUACUAUUAGUUUGAGAACAGUAAAACUAAACCUUAUAAUAUUAUGUAGGUAUCCAUGUGCCUUCACAAUCUGCUCGUACGUAUGUUAAGAUGUUGUCAUCCAAGUCAUUAUUUAAGUCAACAUCUGGCAUACCAUUGGGUAUUCCUUCACACUGUAGUAUUGUAUCACCAAGUUCAUCGUUGUUAUAUCUAUCUUCAAAGUCUCUUUGUGGUGGAGUAAGCACAACUGACCAUCUAACA
rnacentral:lncRNA from 1 species